GCACUGGAGGCGAAAGCGGAGAGAGACUCCCGGGCCUGGGAAGGACCUCCCGGGAAUGUGGGGGGUGGCUGCCUGGCAGGACAAACUCUACCGGAGCAAGGAGACCUUGCCGGGCUCCGGCGCGCAGCCCCCUCUCGCCGCCGUGCCCCGCGAGUAUCUUCAUUGCCAGCCGGCUCUGGAGCCAGCGAUGUCCGCGGGAAGCCGCCCUUCCCCCGUGUCCCGCUUAGCCGCGAUCUUAAUCGUAGUUUCGGGUUGCGGGCGAUGCGCUCCCGCAAAGCGUUAGCUCUUGUGCAAUGCGGGGAGCUCCGCGGAAACCGGGACAGAAACAGAAAGAGAAAGAGCGGAGCGCCAGGCUGUGCAACGUACUCUCUGCAGGGACCGUUUUCCGCAGAAAGAAUUUCUGGAAAAUUUCGCCGAAAUCAUCAUUUUUGCGGUUGCAAGGCCCAGGGCUCCGGUAAAGCCUGUGAUGACACAUUACAACCCCCACGAAUCACACGAGUUUAUUGCCUUCCUAACACCACCGGGGUUCCCCUGAUUUAUUUUCAAGCGAGGCUCGGGGUUCUCCUUCAGUGGGAGCCCCGCGGCGGCGGCGGGUGGCCCGGCCCGGCCCAGACCGCGCUCGUUGUGAGCCCCUUGUGAUGUGGCUGGGGACGGUGGGCUGUAAUGAGAGACACAUGGUUCGGCAAGGAUAAUUAAUAGCAAUAGCGAUAAUAAUAGUGCUUAAUGGUUGGAGAGAGAGACUCGCUAAUAACAGACAGAUCGGGGUUUCGCGGAGCGACUGCAACAUCUAUAGGCGCCUCUCCGCCUUUUCCCAAACCGCGAGGCCACCGCGACGGGCGCAGGAGUUGUGCCCUAGGAACCUCAGAGAGGGCUGAAGGGACGGGGAAACCUCGCAGUCGGGGUAGAUGCCCUCGGCACGGAUGAGGCCGAGGGAAGAGAAAGCCGUCCUCGUUCUCUGCAGCGGGCACAGGCGCGGUCAGCAGCGCACACACUGCGCUCAAAGCGGUGAGGAGAGCCAAGGCGGAGAGGUUUGCUCGGAAAGCCGGGGACAGGCGACUGUCCCACUGCUUCCCGCCGACACCCCGCCACAGCUGCGGUGCUGGUACUGCCGUGCGCGUUGUGCAGAGGCGAAGGAGAGCGUCGGGGACGGCUGGCUCCCCGCGUCCCCUGUUAUCCGGGCCGGAGCAGGAUGCUGGAGUGGUGGGACGCCGUGACUGCAAACCCCUCAAUUUUAAAAACAACAAAAUCCCAAAAUAAGAGGAAACAAACCCCAAGCAAACAAAACAGAAACCGAGGCCAACCAGCAGGCAGGCUCUCCUGCCAGGCGAUACCCAGGCGGCCGGCUGCCCCCUCGCCCAUCGUUGAGAUGGGCCCAUUGCCCGGCCCGGUCCCCUCCUGGGGGGUGCCGGUCCCCGCACGGCGGCCCCGUAGCCCUCCCCUCCGCCUUUCCCCCGGUCGCUAUGGAGGGCCGGGAGAGCCUGGAGCCGAGCGGCAGGGCGCUGCGGCUGGGGCCGGGCCGGCGGGGCACGGCGGGCAUGGCACACACUCCGCGUGCCGGAGAAAGAGGGUGUCCCGUCCUUUUUUUUAGUUGCUUAAUUUCAUUUUAUUUCUUUAAUAAACAAGUAUUUUUGAGUUAUAAAAA